ensembl:lincRNA linc-160 ncRNA
CCAGGUGUUCUUCAAAUUACAAUUACCGGAUCGCCGACGACGCCAUAUACCGUUCGCUUCAUUUCUUUCAUUUCGCUUUUUUGUUUUCGGUUUUCCUUUUCAUUUAUGAAAAUUCUUCAAGAAACUGGAAAUAUCUUCCGGCGCUAAAGUGGGCGGUACGGGUAGAACAAAGCAGAAAAAGGGCUCUGCUCGAAUGAAUCUUUUCUUUUCGUACCCUUACUUUUACCUCCACUACUAAACACUCACAGCACCACCUCAAUUAUUUCCGUUUCAAAUUUUCAUGUGGACCCGUGAGCACCGGGGGAUUGGUGAAGUGGUGUGUGCACGUAUUCUUUGCUUGGCUAGAAGUUUUGAGAUUUUUUGGAAAAAUUUUUACGUCAUAUUUUAAGUCUGCAGUUUUUUUUUUCUAAGGUGGUGUAGUCGGAAGUUUUUAUUGCUUCAUUAGACUCAAAAUUGUCUGAAGACACCGAAUUUCAUGAUGAAACUUCUUGAAAACUUUUUGAAAAAAAGUUAUGGCGGCUCAAAAAAUGACCCAAAAUUAAUCAAAAUUUUAAAUUCGACCGACUAUUAAGCGGCUGGAAACUAACUUUUUUGAAACCACCGUCUAAUUUUGGGUUUACAAGUCAAAUAUCUUCUUUUGUUUAAGAAGUUUUCAAGAAGUAUAUGAAUGUUGGUGUUUUCAGACCACUUACUAUUAGAGUCUAAUGAAGCAAUAAAAAAGUUUCGACUACAGAGCCUUUGAUAGAACUUUUAAAAACAAUUUUUUUAUGGGUUAAAUUACUUAAAACUCGCCUAGAAAUUAGUGUUUAAAGGUGGAGUAGCGCCAGUGGGGAAAUUGUUAAAAGUCACUCCUUUGGUCCCAAAAUGACCAAUUAUCAUGAUAAAACUCUUCAAAAAAUUUUUGAAAAUUUUUUUUUAUUUU